rnacentral:rRNA from 1 species
GAUGAACGCUAGCUACAGGCUUAACACAUGCAAGUCGAGGGGCAGCAUGAACUUAGCUUGCUAAGUUUGAUGGCGACCGGCGCACGGGUGAGUAACACGUAUCCAACCUGCCGAUGACUCGGGGAUAGCCUUUCGAAAGAAAGAUUAAUACCCGAUGGCAUAGUUCUUCCGCAUGGUGGAACUAUUAAAGAAUUUCGGUCAUCGAUGGGGAUGCGUUCCAUUAGGUUGUUGGCGGGGUAACGGCCCACCAAGCCUUCGAUGGAUAGGGGUUCUGAGAGGAAGGUCCCCCACAUUGGAACUGAGACACGGUCCAAACUCCUACGGGAGGCAGCAGUGAGGGAUAUUGGUCAAUGGACGAGAGUCUGAACCAGCCAAGUAGCGUGAAGGAUGACUGCCCUAUGGGUUGUAAACUUCUUUUAUACGGGAAUAAAGUGAGGCACGUGUGCC